rnacentral:rRNA from 1 species
GACGAACGCCGGCGGCGUGCUUAACACAUGCAAGUCGAACGGAAAGGCCCUGCUUUUGUGGGGUGCUCGAGUGGCGAACGGGUGAGUAACACGUGAGUAACCUGCCCUUGACUUUGGGAUAACUUAAGGAAACUGGGGCUAAUACCGGAUAGGAGCUCCUGCUGCAUGGUGGGGGUUGGAAAGUUUCGGCGGUUGGGGAUGGACUCGCGGCUUAUCAGCUUGUUGGUGGGGUAGUGGCUUACCAAGGCUUUGACGGGUAGCCGGCCUGAGAGGGUGACCGGCCACAGUGGGACUGAGAUACGGCCCCAGCUCCCACGGGAGGGAGCAGUUGGGGAUAGUGGACAAUGGGCCGAAGGCUGAUGCAGCCACGCCGCGUGCCGGAUGGCGGGCCUCGGGAUGUAAAACCCUUUCGGCUGUGACCAAGCCUGAGUGGCGGUAAUGGGUAAAGAAGCACGGGCUAGCUACGUG